AUUUUUCAUUUAAGAUACAAAACUCUGGACCAAUACUGUGGUAUUUGCAUGAAUGAUUAGCUGUACUGCGUCAUGUCAUGAGGAUGGUGGACUCACACACAACCACUUAAUGAGUAAUUCACUUUAAAAGUUUCCUUCUGAGAGGCAGCAGGGGAAUUAUUCACACGGAAUUCCCCCUUUGUUUGGAGAAAGCCACUAAACCAACUUGUGGUAAAUCAGCAGCCAGCCAGUCAGUCAGUGUGCGGAGGAGACGGCAGAGGGACGGAUGCACGCGUGCUCGGCUCCUGUCUUGGAAUCUGCAGUAAUUGAAGACAUCCAUCAGAUUAUGACAGCGUCGCAGGGAAGCUUUGCAUCGUGGGACUUGGAACGUGACCAGGUUAAACAUGACAAUAGCAAUCAAACAUGUGAUUUAGAGCAAGAUCCCUCUUGUUUCUCCUACAGUAUGCUCUGAUUCACUUAUAAACUAUGUGUGAGGUGCACUGAUAACAUCAGUGAUGUAUCAUCGAUACUGUUUCUGUGACUUUGAUUAACUGUGCUCAUUUGUGGGCUGAUGCAGACUUCUCGUGAGAAAAAAAUCUACCAUGUUUUUCGGAUUUAAAUGGAUUUAUAUCUCAAAGAAUUCUGAGAUAAUAAUCAUGUUAAUUCCGAAAAAUGUGAAUGUGAUACACUUAUGUAAAAGUUAAAUUUCAGCCAAUAUUAUAUUGGGUAAUGGGAUCUGUUUGUGUUGGUGAAGGAGCUGAUGAUGAUAAAGGGUCUUUCAUAAUGCUGGGAGGGAAUUGUUUGAGGGGAAGUUGGAGGGUUUCAGUGAUGAAAAAAGUCUCCUUUGCAAAUGAAAAGGCCGGAUCACAUUCCAGGCCAGAUCACUUGCCUUUCACAUUUUCAGAAAACAGAUUUCUUUGUUGAGUUGGACAGCUCUGUGUGUUGUGUUGGUCUGUAGUGGGCUUUAAAUGACUAAAAUGAUCACACCAGUGUUUUGUCUGAUAGUUUUACCUCAUUUUCUUACUAUAAAUUGCUGACCACCAUAAAUGUGGGAAGGCAGUCACUGGUUUGGCUUCAUUUCAUUACAAUAUGAAACUUGCACCUGUUACCUUAUAUUGAUCAAAUCAGCCUUUACGUGUGGAUAUUGCAUAUUUGUUUUAAGAUGACCUCAAACCAUAUCUAAUUCAUUCUGUUAAUCUAAACGGUCUGAACCUGAAGACAUUGUCUGACUUUAACAAUCUCAUUGCAUCUAUUGUUACUAUUGUCUUUAAUAAAGAAAAGUUCAUUAUCACCAA